CCCUUCCCUGUCCCGGAGCUGGAAACAGAAUCUGCCUAGAAGGCAAGCGAGCGGUUUCUCGGAGCCGCCGGGCUGGCUGCCUUCCAGCUUCAAAACCUGGCGGGGUGGGCGAUAAGGGAUGCCUGGUCCCGCCAGGGAGGAAGGUGGGAGCGCUACACCUCGCCUCCGGCCGGUGCUGCUGCUCCGGAAAGUACCAAUGGCAUCCAUCCACCCGGCCUUUGAUCCAUGGCAUCGGAAAAUUGGUGACAAAUCCAGAGAAUUUCUGUUGGAUCCAGCUAAAGUGUUCUGAAGCUGCAGCAUCUGACUAAGAAGAGGAUUUGCCCACCCUGCAAAAGAUGCACUUGUAGCAGCCUUCCAUCCUAUCACAGGUGGAUCUGACCUUGCACCUUUCACAUUUCUUUCAAAAUUACCCCGCAGAACCUCAGGAAACACAGACCAAGGAGCCAAACUCUGGGGUGUGGGCGGGAAGGUGAGUGAGAGAUGAGCUGAGAAGGUAUGGGGGUGGACAGCAAGGUACAGGCAAAGUAUAUAGAAUGAAGAAAGAAAAAGAAAACAGAGAAGAAACAAUGGCAAAGCAAAAACUAUGUAGGAACUAUGAAAUUCUGGAUUUUUUAUUACAUUUUUGGAGGCAAGUUCUCCUUUAGGUGGAAAUAAUCCUCCCAGAGGGUAAGUUUUUUCUGAGCAUUUAUUUGAGAUAAGAAAUUUUAGCUGUCGAUAAAAUAGAGUCCUUGAGAUAGAGCUGUUUCACCUCUGCCAUGCUCAGUGGACAUGCAGCAUGAGCCCCAGCUUGCCUGCAAAGGACAGGGGGAACAAACAUCUCUUGUGGCUGGAAGAACAAAAUUAACCUUCAUGUGAAGCUGGCUAGAGAAGAAACAUGUAUACUGGAUAAUAUUCAUACCACAACACCACUUCUAUGCUAGCCAUUAAUUUUCCUCUCCUUAAGGGCAAGAAUGAAGAAGCAUUUCAGAAUUAAAGGUGAGAGUAGAAUGACAGGGCACCAAGGAAAAGCCUGUUUCCUGGGGAAACUGCUGAGAGUCAUCUCUCUUGAUUGUACCUG
rnacentral:lncRNA from 1 species